rnacentral:lncRNA from 1 species
GCAAAAUAUUCUUCAUCACUUCUAAUGCAUUAGCUUGUUCUUAGCAAUGUGUCCCUUACUAUAAUAAUUUUUGAAUUAUUUAAACAUUCACCGUAUCUUUUAAUAUCUCACUGUGCUUCUUGUAUCUCACUCAGCCUUGAUAACUGCUUGUAUUUGUGGAAUGAACAAAUUUUCUUAGAACAGCUUGUGGGCAUAUCAAACUUUUAUUAGCAUCGAACUUGCGAGAAUCCACCUAGCUAUACAGUUCUGCUCCAUUAAAAGACUGCUUAUUAACAGAUGAGAGACCAAAAACCCUGAAAGCACUGAGGAAGGAAGCAACACUGCACGGCAGUCAGUGGCUGAGGCUGGGUCCCUCUCUCCUAGAUCCGCGUGUGGGGCCCAUGAGCCUAUUUUGUCUCUGAUUUUCUGUGUAUGUCUCCAUCUUAUUCCCCCUUCCGUGUCCCUCAUCUCUCUACUAUGAGAACCAGAGAGGUAGAGGAUACCAUGAUUGUUUUGUAUGCCAUAGCCAUUGCUGAAUCCUAGAACCUCCAGGCUUUCAAUAUUUGUUGAAUCAAUAAAUAUGUCCAUAACUAUAUGAUCAGUUUUCAAGUCUGUGUUUUAGGCCUCUGCAACAGAAAUGCUUUCUGUAAGCCACACCGUCAUGAAACACAAUGGGGCAGCUACAGAAAAGAAAACUCACCUGAAACAGGGAAGGAAAGAAGGAAGGAAGAAAGGAAGGAAGGAAAGAAGGAAAGAAGGGAACCCUAACUGCCCAUCCCAUCCUGGAAGUGUGGUACAAAGAGCAGAAGGAAGGGAAACUACAAACGUGUCUCCCUGUGCUGUUCGGGACAGUGCUGAAAGUGGAAGGGGGCCAGGGUCCAGAAAGCUGCAUGACUUCUCCUACCAACAUCCUGGGAGGAAGUUUCCAUAGGUGCUCAGCGUGCAAAGCCUGAGGGGUUUCCUCUUCAUGAUCUUACUCCUUUGAAGGCCGGAUGAGAGAAUCAGUAAGGGAGCUGACUGUGCAGGCUGGAGAGCAGAGCACUGGAUGACCUCGCGGGGACUCUUGAGUGGCCAAGGGGAGCCUUGACCCAGCACUCUUACUUGGCGUGUUCUCCAAGAGCAGUGUCUUCUCCGAAAACGCCUUUGCUUCUUUUUAGGGUGGGGAGCUGGGAUGAGGGCACGGGGCUAUCAGGAAAGGGGAGACUGUGUGACUGCGGAAGAUGGUGGCCAAAGGAAGCGCAUAUCCCCUGUGUGUUUCCCAGCACAGCAGCCAAGAGCCGCUCUCCAAACUUGGAAGGUCCCCAGGCUCCUGCCCUUGGCCAGGAAACUGGCUCCCUUCAGCCGUUCUGCGAAUAUUCUCUUUAUAUUGUGCCUACAGCAUUCGUGCUGCUCCCUCGCUGAUGUUAUUUAAAGCCUGCCUUCUUUUCUUUAA